rnacentral:rRNA from 1 species
AGAGUUUGAUCCUGGCUCAGAUUGAACGCUGGCGGCAGGCCUAACACAUGCAAGUCGAGCGGCAGCGGGAAAGUAGCUUGCUACUUUUGCCGGCGAGCGGCGGACGGGUGAGUAAUGCCUGGGGAUCUGCCCAGUCGAGGGGGAUAACAGUUGGAAACGACUGCUAAUACCGCAUACGCCCUACGGGGGAAAGCAGGGGACCUUCGGGCCUUGCGCGAUUGGAUGAACCCAGGUGGGAUUAGCUAGUUGGUGAGGUAAUGGCUCACCAAGGCGACGAUCCCUAGCUGGUCUGAGAGGAUGAUCAGCCACACUGGAACUGAGACACGGUCCAGACUCCUACGGGAGGCAGCAGUGGGGAAUAUUGCUCAAUGGCCGAAAGGCUGAAGCAGCAACGCCGCGUGGGGGAUGAAGGGCUUUUGCUUGUAAACCCCUGUAGCGAGGGAAAAAAUCUCCAUUCUAUGGAGGAUGAUGGUACCUCGAAAGUAAGCGUCGGCUAACUACGUGCCAGCAGCCGCGGUAAUACGUAGGACGCAAACGUUGUCCGGAUUUACUGGGUGUAAAGGGUGCUCAGGCGGUCUUGUAAGUCAGUGGUGAAAUCCCGGAGCUCAACUCCGGAACUGCCUUUGAUACUACAAGGCUUGAGUAUGGAAGAGGUGGAUGGAAUUUCUGGUGUAGCAGUGAAAUGCGUAGAUAUCAGAAAGAACACCAGUGGCGAAGGCGGUCUACUGGUCCAUUACUGACGCUAAAGCACGAAAGCAUGGGGAGCAAACAGGAUUAGAUACCCUGGUAGUCC